rnacentral:rRNA from 1 species
CCUACGGGAGGCAGCAGUAGGGAAUCUUCCACAAUGGGCGAAAGCCUGAUGGAGCAACGCCGCGUGGGUGAAGAAGGUCUUCGGAUCGUAAAACCCUGUUGUUAGAGAAGAAAGUGCGUGAGAGUAACUGUUCACGUUUCGACGGUAUCUAACCAGAAAGCCACGGCUAACUACGUGCCAGCAGCCGCGGUAAUACGUAGGUGGCAAGCGUUUUCCGGAGUUAUUGGGCGUAAAGGGAACGCAGGCGGGCUUUUAAGUCUGCUGUGAAAGCCUUCGGCUUAACCGGAGUAGUGCAUUGGAAGCUGGGAGACGUGAGUGCAGAAGAGGAGAGUGGAAGUCCAUGUGUAGCGGUGAAAUGCGUAGAUAUAUGGAAGAACACCAGUGGCGAAAGCGGCUCUCUGGUCUGUAACUGACGCUGAGGUUCGAAAGCGUGGGUAGCAAACAGGAUUAGAUACCCCGGUAGUC